AUUUUUAUCCAAGGUAUUCACUAAAAUUGGAACAAUACGAGAAGAUUAGCAUGGCUGCUGCACAAAAAUGACAUGCAAAUUCAUGAAGCAUUCCACAAAAAA